rnacentral:rRNA from 1 species
GACGAACGCUGGCGGCGUGCUUAACACAUGCAAGUCGAACGGAAAGGCCCUGCUUUUGUGGGGUGCUCGAGUGGCGAACGGGUGAGUAACACGUGAGUAACCUGCCCUUGACUUUGGGAUAACUUCAGGAAACUGGGGCUAAUACCGGAUAGGAGCUCCUGCUGCAUGGUGGGGGUUGGAAAGUUUCGGCGGUUGGGGAUGGACUCGCGGCUUAUCAGCUUGUUGGUGGGGUAGUGGCUUACCAAGGCUUUGACGGGUAGCCGGCCUGAGAGGGUGACCGGCCACAUUGGGCCUGGGAUACGGCCCAGACUCCUACGGGAGGCAGCGGUGGGGAAUAUUGCACAAUGGGCGGAAGCCUGAUGCAGCAACGCCGCGUGCGGGAUGACGGCCUUCGGUUUGUAAACCGCUUUCGCCUGUGACGAAGCGUGAGUGACGGUAAUGGGUAAAGAAGCACCGGCUAACUACGUG